CCUACGGGUGGCUGCAGUGAGGAAUUUUGCGCAAUGGGGGAAACCCUGACGCAGCAACGCCGCGUGAGUGAAGAAGGCUUUCGGGUCGUAAAGCUCUGUCAAGCGGGAAGAACCCUUCCAAGGCCAAUACCCUUGGGAGCUGACGGUACCGCUGGAGGAAGCACCGGCUAACUCCGUGCCAGCAGCCGCGGUAAUACGGAGGGUGCAAGCGUUAUUCGGAAUCAUUGGGUGUAAAGCGCGUGUAGGCGGUUUGAUAAGUCAGAUGUGAAAGCUCCGGGCUUAACCCGGAAAGUGCAUUUGAAACUGUCAGGCUUGAGUCCCGGAGAGGAAGGUGGAAUUCCCAGUGUAGAGGUGAAAUUCGUAGAUAUUGGGAGGAACAUCGGUGGCGAAGGCGACCUUCUGGACGGAGACUGACGCUGAGACGCGAAAGCGUGGGGAGCAAACAGGAUUAGAUACCCGUGUAGUC
rnacentral:rRNA from 1 species